CUUUUCUACUUUGUCAACAAAUCCACAUGUAAGAAACCCACGAUGACAACAUUCUCAAAUCCAUCUCAGCUACUUCCACUUGGUAAUUUUUGCGAAGUGUCCGAUAAUAAAUAAUGUAUUUUUUACUGGCUUUCAAUAAGGGCUGCAAUUUUGUUAGCUUGUCAUUUCGAACCAUAAAUGUACAACAGUUUUAAACCAUAUCCAAGACCUGGCAUACAAAUUUUUAAAAAGACCGGUUUAUAAUUUUUCAUCUGAAAGCGGUCGAAGUCUGUACAAGUACUGUUCCUCCUUUUUUUUAAGGGAACACCUUCUUUGACUCAAUUGGUUAGAGGCUGCAUACUUUUAUAGAUACUUUUAACUAUAGAACUCAUCGAAUGAUAGUUAUCAAUCCUCAAUCUUAUGGCACAACUCUUCUCAUUGGUGCAUAUUACACUCUAUCUGGAAUCUGGGUCUGUUUGCGCCCAAUUGCGUUUGCACCCAUCCACGUUCGCCCUUUUCAAUAUUGCACCUGACAUGUUUGCACCCUACAAGUUCAGGGGUUUCAUUAUCUUUGAUGUUGACUGGUACUUUCCACGUUUCUAGGUGGUUCUUUUCAAUUUAUUCCAUGAAUAUCUCAUAUAAAAAUUCCUACAUUUAGCGGUACUUUUCAAUACAUAGGAGGGUAAAAGUACCGGGUACUGCUCUAAUGAAAGGCUGAGUUCGCACCAAAUUCUACCGAGUUUUAGUAAGUGUAUUGCUAUAAAUAUAUAUCAUUAUUUCUAAAUGAUGUGAGAUUCUGAAAAGUUUUUUUUGUAUCAUGGUAAGUUUAUUGCUAUAAAUAUAUAUAUUUUUUGUGUGUUGGAUAAAUCUUAAUGAUGUUUAGGUAUUAGUAAAGGUUUGGUGUAUUUCGAAAAUGUACUCUCUCUCUCUAUAUAUAUAUAUAUAUAUAUUUCUUCUUUGUCUAAAUAAAGGAGAGAUAGACAUUUAUGUGUUUAAAAUCUUUAUCAUGUUUUGGUUAGUGUAUUGCUAUAAAUAUUUCUUUGUCAUUGUUUCAUUAGGAAUUGGGAUACUUACAGAGUUUUAUUAUGUGUUGAAAAUAGUUCGUAAUCAUCGACCAUACAAAUUGGGCGCGAACGUGUGGGGUGCAGGCAGACUUCGGGGGGCGAAGAUGUGAGGUGCGAAAGUAUAUUGGGCGCGAACGGACCUGAUACCCCCUAUGUGUAUCAUCCUCUAUGUAUUUUCCUCCAUGUACUGUAAUUUUGUUUUUGCUGUUACAACUGAGGUGUGGAGUUGGGUAGUCGAAACGUCUGUUUUUGAAAAUAAGGCCGAAAUGAUUUCUAUCUCCGUUUAUAUUCUCUGUGUUUUUUGAUCUGUCUUCCUAGCAGGGUGCCUGUGUUGAUUUUGCGGAUACAAUUCUUUGAAUUUGAUGGUACAUUUCUUCUCUAUAACUCCUGUAGUUUUGGCACUCAGUUAGGUAGUGUUGUUGUGUUUCCUUAGUUCCACAGCAGCAUAAGUCAGUGGUGUUUUGCCCUGUGCGUUGUUUAUACAUGUAGUAGUUAAAGGUUGUAUAGCCAGUUCUUAAUUGUAUAAAGGUGCUGAAGAAUUUUUUGGUUGGAUAGUCAAAGAUUGGGAUGUUUUUAACGUUCGGUGUUAUCUCAAAAAGGUGUCUUCUGUGUGCUUUAAUUCCCAUCGUCUUUGCCACUUCAGCAUGACACUCUUGUGUGCACCUGGUUUUACGUCUUGAACGGUAAGUAUGUUUUUUUUGGCAGGAAUUGUGUUGUUUCUUCUGCUGCUUGCUUUGCCAAUAAGUCCGCUUCAUCGUUCCCUUGAAUAUGUGUGUCCUGGUGUCCAUAGGAUGCAAAUUUCCAUCCCUUUAGUUUUUAGGUCCUCGAUGUGUUCUCUGAUGUCUGGAAUCACAUCAAUAUAGGAUUUGGGUGCCCAAUUUAGUGUGAGGAGUCCUACAGGGGUACUGCACUUUGACUGUCAGAGAAGAUCUUAAGUGUGGUGAUGGUGUUGUGUAGUCUUUCCAGUAUACAAUAUUCCAGUACCAUUACAAUUGAUACAAGCUCUGCUAGUCAAUUCGUAACUACAUUAAUUUGUCACCAAGACGUUUCGUACCUGGUACAUUAAUUUGUAACCAAGACGUUUCGUACCUGGUGUAAUUAUAUAUGGUUAUGUUCUGGACCAUAUGAGUAUUUGGACCAAAUGUGUAAUGUGUAUACUAACCUUCUUAGUAGCUGUGUGCAUUGAAAACAUGAUCUUUGGAUCAUUCUAAUGUGUCUACGGUGUUUAUAGUUGCUCUUAUGAUCGCAAGACUAGACAGGGAACAUUUAAAUAAUGAUGAACAUUUAAAUUCUUUUGUUCUCUUCGUAUGUUUGCAAAACUGUACUUGUGAACAUAACAAUGUCCAAUCAAUUAUUAAAAUAAAUAAAUAUAGAUAUAUAUGAUAAAUACAUGAACAUGACAACAUCAAUAAGUCUUUUUAUCUACAUGUAUCAUAGUCAUGACAUGAGCAUAACUUGCAAUGUAUGAAAAGAUGUUAUAUCAAAAUCUCCAUUUCACCUAUUUCACCUAUUCUUUGCAUCCAAUAUUACAUUGAAGUAAUAAAGUUUUUAAAGAAGAAAUUGGAAUUAUUACGACCAAUAGCUCUGACACUAGUUUUCAACUAUUUAAUUUCUCAUUUCAGAACUGGUAGAUAAAUGUAUAGGAUCUCGAAUCCACAUUGUGAUGAAGAACGAUAAAGAAAUAGUUGGAACUUUACUUGGUUUUGAUGAUUAUGUCAGUAUCCUUUUGACCUAUUUAAAGAACAACUACCUAGGUUAUGGUCUACUGUAUGUCUUACUAAAGUGUCUGAAAAAAAAAGCUGAAUGUCAUCUUAUAAUUACUGACCUAGCUGAUAAGAUAUAUAAUCAUACUUGUUCUGUGGAUCAACUAUUUGGUGGAUUUUGUAGCUACAGUUGAACCACAAAUUUAUCUAAAAAAAUUUGUUUGCGCUUGAAAGCAGAUUUGGCAAAACCAUGGAAUCAAAUAUUUAACAUUUUAAGAAAAUGAAAUUUCACUAAAAAUAUGUUCUGAGAGAUACUUGGUCUGUUCUUAGUCCGUCUGCAAUCACUGGAUAUUUACGGUAUCAGAAGGGUCACGCAAAGGUCUCUUACAUACAGAAAAUAUGUCCAUGAAUUCUUCCUGGUAGCAAGCAAUUACAAGAAAGUAAACUUCUUCUAAUUGUGGACAAAUUAAAGAAUUUACUUCAGAAAAAAAGAAGAUGUACAUUAGUUUAAUAAUGAAACUAUCCAUUUUGUUAUAAAAAAAAAAUAUGCAUCAAUUUUUUUUUAAUUUAAGGUUUCAUAUGACUGUAACAAAUAGACAGGAAAUAUGGGGGGAAAAUUCAAAAACUUCGAUUACAUUUUUAAUCUGCUAUCCCAGUGCCUGUGACCUCAUGCUGCAAAGAAGCCAAGUAUAUAGUUUUCAAUAGGUCCCUGAGUCAUCUAUUUUUCCAAAAUGAUUUCAAUUUUACAUGAAUAUUUUCAAAAGUUGGAAAAUUGUCUGUCAUGUCUGGCAUGUGCAUUUGUUAUAUUACUUUAAUAGUACCACUCUCCCCAAACGUGAAAGAAGAAUAAUCCUUAACAGUAUGAUAGAUAUGGUAUUAGAAGAUGUGACGGAAUUGUGAGUAUUUUUGUGCAAUUAAAGUUAUUAAACCCUGGAAAUAUUUAGUUUAUUAAGGGACGACAUCAAAAGUUCAAUGUAGGAUAAAAAACUAAAUUCACAUAGUUUUUUCACUCACCCCCACCCCCCCCCCCCCCCCUCUAACUUAAUUGGGAAAAUUGAUUUACUAAUAGGGAUAUAUUGAAAAUCAUUAAAGUUUUUUUAUACGACCGCAAAUUUGUAAAAUUUUUCGUCGUAUUUGCUAUCACGUUGCGUCGUCGUCGUCGUCCGAAACUUUUAGUUUCGCACUCUAACUUUGUAAAAGUGAAUGGAAAUCUAUGAAAUUUUAACACAAGUUUAUGACCACAAAGGAGGUUGGUAUUGAUUUUGGAAGUUUUGGUCCAACAUUUAGGAUUAGGGCCGAAAGGCCAAAAAGCAUUUUCUUGUUUUCGCACUAAACUUUAGUUAGUUAAUAGAAAUCUAUGAAAUUUUUGACACAAGGUUUAUGACCACAAAAGAACGGUGGAUUGAUUUUGGGAGUUUUGGUUUCAACAGUUGAGGAAUUAGGGGCCAAAAAGGGCCCAAAUAAGCAUUAUUCUUGGUUUUCGCCAUAACUUAGUUUAAGUAAAUAGAAAUCAAUGAAAUUAAACAAAUGUUAAUGACUACAAAGGAGGUUGGUAUUGAUUUUGGGAGUUUAGGUCCAAACAGUUUCAGGAAUUAGGGGCCAAAAGGGACCAAAUAAGCAUUUUUUCUUGGUUUUCGCCCAUAACGUUAGUAUAAUAAUAGAAAUUAUGAAAUUUAAACACAAGGUUUAUGACCAUAAAAGGAAAGUUGUAUUGAUUUUGGGAGUUUUGUCCCAACAAAUAAGGGCCCAAAGGGUCAAAAUUAAACUUUGUUUGAUUUCAUCAAAUUGAAUAAUGGGUUCUUGAUAUGCCGAAUCUAACUGUCAUGACUGUGUAUGUAGAUUCUUAACUUUUGGUCCCGUUUUCAAAUUGUCUACUAAGGUCCAAAGGUCCAAAUUAACUUAGUUGAUUUUUGACAAAAUGAAUCAGUUAGGUUCUUUGAUAUGCUGAAUCUAAAAUGUACUUAGAUCUGAUUAUUGGCCCAGUUUUCAAGUUGGUCCAAAUCGGGUCCAAAAUUUAACUUUGUUUGAUUUCAUCAAAAAUUGAAUAAAUGGGGUUCUUUGGAUAUACCAAAUUAACUGUGUAUGUAGAUUCUUCAUUUUUGUCCUGUUUUCAAAUUGGUCUACACAAAGUCCAAAGGGUCCAAAAUAACUUAGUCUGAUUUUACAAAAUUGAAAUCUUGGGGUUCUUUGAUAGCUGAAUCCAAAAAUGUACUUAGAUUUUUUAUUAUGGGCCAGUUUCAGUUGGUCAAUCAGAUCUAAAUUAUUAUAUUAAGUAUUGUGCAAUAGCAGUCUUUUCAAUUGCACAGUAUUGCGCAAUGGCAAGAAAUAUCUAAUUGCACAAUAUUGUGAAAUAGCAAAUUUUUUUUUAAUUAGAGUUAUCUUUCUUUGUCCAGAAUAGUAAGCAAGAAAUAUCUAAUUGCAAAAUAUUGUGCAAUAGCAAGAUUUUUUUUUAAUUGGAGUUAUCUUUCUUUGUCCAGAAUCAACUUAAAUCUUUGUUAUAUACAAUAUACAAUGUAUAUUCACUUUUUACUACCAACUGAUAAAUUAAAAUAAUCUUUACCAUUCAGUGAUAACAAGCAGUUUUUUUACAUCUUAUUUCCUAUCUUAUCUAAAAUGUUUUUAGAUAAUGUAUGUUGGCAUUUGCAGACAUGCUAUGAUGUCAUUUUCUAUUUUUAUUUGCCAAUAAUUUAUGUAAAUCUUCAUGGAAAUCUGCCAAUAUAAAAUGUUGCUGAUGAAGUUUUUUAUUGUUUUUACAAUAACAAUGUAUAUUCACUUUUACUACCAACCAACUCUUUACCAUUCAGUGAUACAACCUUUAUUUUACAUUUUAAUAUUUAUAAUGUAAUUAAAAGAGAGUUAUUGUUGCAAAUCCAUUAGAAAUUUGAUUGAUAUCAGUUUUGGAAAAAGGGAACGGGAUGUAAAAAAAGGGGGGGUUAAAUUUUUCUAUUUCAGAUUCAUAAAUAAAGAAAAUUUUUUUGAGAGAUUAAUAUUAACAGCAUAGUGAAUUGCUAAAAGGAAAAACAAACUUUAAGUUCAUUAGCACUUCAUUCUUUCAGAACCUAUCUGUGUCAACUAUUUAUUUUGAUUUAAAGUUGAAGAGAAAUCUUUAAUUGUAAAAUUUGUAAAAUCUUGACUUUGCAUUGUGUAAAAAAAAACCAUGUAAUGUCAAAAAUUUGAUCACAAUCCAAAUUCAGAGCUUAUCACGCUAGAUGUUUGUCAUACUUGCCCACUGUUCAGGGUUCGACUCUGCGGUCGUAUAAAGCUGCGCCCUGCGGACACCUGGUUUACCUACAUUGAUCUUUUGAUGUCAUCCUUAAGUAUGCAAUACUGAAUAGACCUUCUACAGACUUUUGACACAGGGUUCUAUAUUUAUUUGAAAGUAAUGGUUAUUUUUUCUGGUAAGACAUCCUGGUACUUGGUUAUGCCCAAGAGCAACAAAACAAGAAUAAUCAAACAUAUGAUCAAUGCAAUUCAGUGGGAAAGGUAACUGUUUUCCAAGUAUUUUGUUGUGUACAAAAACAUAGCACAAUUUACUUUUUCUAAAAAUGCUACAUUUUACUGCUUAGUUCCUCUCACUUGAGCCAGUACCAGGAUGUCCUACCUCUGAGUAGGUGACCAGUCAAAAAAAUAUAAACUAUGGAGUCAAAAAUUAGUGAUAUGAAAAUAGUAUGCUUUCUACAUUAUGUGUACACAAGUUAUUUAUAUCAGCCCAUUAAUGUUGGUAGUGAAUUGUAACAACAUUACAUAUGAUCACCUUACAAAUAACAUGUACACUCAAAAAAAUGUACUAAAAAAUCAAGCAAAUCAAAAAAAAUCUAAUCAAACAACCAUUAUUUUUAUUUUCAAAUUAAUUCAGGGCCAACAAACAUUAUGUAAAACUUUUAUCACAGAUAGAAAAAAAAUUGCACGACACAACAAAACAUAAGUGCUGCAGAGAAUCAAAAUAAUAGAUAUAUACACUGAAACUUUUUGAGUUGUGUUUCCUUAUUUAAAUUUGUAUACUGUUACAAUGAAAGUUUUUCAGUGAAACUCAUGUUGCCCUGAGGUUCUUGGCCAGCAGACAUAACAAUAAGAUCAACCUUUUUUGUGUUAAUAAUUUAACACAUUGAUAGGUCAUGAAUUUUCUGUUUAGGCCAAAAAGUUAUAAAUUUUACAAUUGGUCUAAAGAAAACAAAAAAAUAAUAUACCACUUAGUUGUCUUUAGGCAAUGUUUUUUUCAGUGCCAAAAUAUUAUUCUAUAGAACCUUAAAAGUUUAUUUAUAUAGUACACUUUUUUACAUUGAUUUGUUGACAAAUAAAUAAUUUGUAGAUAUUAUCUUGACACACACUUUGUUUCUUGACAUUUUACAAAUAUGUGCAAUUAAUCACCACACUAGUAUUUAACUUUUGACUGUAACCAAAAUAUAUGACAAUUUUUCAAAAAAUAUUUCAGUGAAAGCACAUCAGAGGGGCGACGGGUAACCAAGCUAGAUCAAAUUCUUCUGAAUGGAAACAAUAUUACUAUGGUUAGUAUUAUUAUCUGUGCCUAUCUUAAAUUCUCAAUGAUAAUGAGUGAAAUUUAUCCUGUUUAUUGAAAUUUUUAAUUUAAUGAAAAUUUCAGGUGAUUUGUCAAUAUGUUUUU
rnacentral:lncRNA from 1 species